CUUACUUUUCAAAUUCCUUAUUCUAACUCUGUGCGGCGUAGACGCUUACUCCUCACAGGGAUUCUUGAGGCGCACGUCUGGACUUGUUAUUUCUCUGAAUCUUAGAGUCUUAGAUCCGAAAACGGCCAGUUCUGAGGGUGAGGACCGCAACUGUCAGUGUUUCUUCUGCUGAAUACCCAGUGCCCAGCUUAGGGCCCAGAUUAUUUCUUCACUUUUUCUUCCUGUUUCCUCGACUCUUGGUUUACGCUGGAGGAAUGCGAACAGUAGAGAGAGAAAAUUGGUCCCUGGAUUGAUGCCUUUGAUGGAAUCAAAUUGAAGAAGGAAGAGAAGGCCGUGGGAAGGUAAAGCAGAGAUUUGUAGAUGUUGACCUCGAAAACUGGAGAGAUGUGGCCACAAGCCAAGCUUCUCUGCAGCGUGCUUAUUUCAUGUUUGGAACCCUAAUUAUGGAGAUCUGAGAAGAGAUUCUGCAGAAAGCGCCAGCGCCCUGUCCCACAACUGCCAGACACAUCCCACCAGCGCCACGUGCCCUCCACUCGCUGCGCGCUUUUCGGCUUUUGAGCUCAGCUGCAUCCCACGUGUCUGUGGCUUGGAGUGGGUGCCCUCUCUGCUCUGAGCAGAUUGUUAUGCACACAUCGUGUCUCUCAUCCUCUAGACCUUAGCUUGGAAGUAGUUUCCUCCUAGAAGCCUUCCCUGAUCUCCCCCUCUCCCUCCUACCAGCUCCAGAGUUAGAGUUAGUGAGGGUAUGGAGAGGAUAUUCGGGGAAGAGCACAGAGGGUCCCUGCUCUCAUGACGUAGAGUCUAGCGGGGUUCAUAAGCAUUAGACAAGUAAUCGCCCAAAUAUGGUACAAUCUCUACGAAAAAAGAUAGUUUUCUAUGUGUAGACUUUGAAUGAAGUUCCAGAUUUAAGAGAAUAAAGAAGUUAGAGAAUAACAUGUCUUGCACGAUGGGUGGAAGGAUACACAUCAAAUUAUUCCCAGUGGUUACUGUUGGGAGACAAUUUUCCCCGAUUAUCUCGGUUUCUGGGUGUAUUGUGAGUCUCUUAACUGUUUUUACUCACCGACAACCAAGUCUCUGAUUCUAUGCAGACACCAACUGGGUGUUCAACAAUUCAAUUCAAUUCUGACACUAACUACCCAGAAUUAGUGCAGAUUCCAAAGGUUAAGGGCUCAGUCCCACAAGACUGUCCCCCACUUCAGAUGCCAUUUGCCAGUCCCAGGCCUCCUGUACUUCUGACUGACCAGCUAUAAACCAAGGGACCCCACAACCCCAUCUUCAGCUUGGAUAAUUUGCUAGAAUGGCUCACAGAACUCAGGAACACACUUGACUUUCAUUUACUGGUGUAUUAUAAACAGAUAUAACUCCAUUUGGCACACAGCCAAAUGGAAGAGCUGCACAGGGCAAGGAAUGGCAUGAGGGGAGCUACAUGGAACUUCCAUGCCCUCUCCUGGUGUGCCACUCUUCCAACACCUCCAUACGUUCGUUCAUCAGCUCUGAAACUCUCCUAAUUCUGUCAUUUAGAGGUUUUUAUGAAGGUUUCAUCAUGUAGGCAUGACAGAUUAUUAACUCAAUCUCCAGCCCCUCUCCCCUCCUGGGGAGAUUAAGGGUGGGGUGUGGUUGAAAGUUCUAGGCUUCUAAUCAUGGCUUUGUCUUUUUGAUGACCAGCCCCUAUUCUGAAACUAUCUAGGGACCCACCAAGAAUGGCCUCAUUAGAACAAAAGCGGCUCCUAGUACCCAGAAAAUCUCAAGGGAUUUAGGAGCUGUGUCAGGAACUGGGCACAAAGAUCAAAUAUAUAGUCCUU